rnacentral:rRNA from 1 species
UACGUAGGGUGCGAGCGUUGUCCGGAUUUAUUGGGCGUAAAGAGCUCGUAGGCGGUUUGUCGCGUCGGCCGUGAAAUCUCCACGCUUAACGUGGAGCGUGCGGUCGAUACGGGCAGACUUGAGUUCGGUAGGGGAGACUGGAAUUCCUGGUGUAGCGGUGAAAUGCGCAGAUAUCAGGAGGAACACCUGAGGUGAAGACGGGUUGCUGGGCUGACACUGACGCUGAGGCGCGAAAGCUAGGGUAGCAAACGGG